rnacentral:rRNA from 1 species
CCUACGGGAGGCAGCAGUGGGGGAUAUUGCGCAAUGGGGGAAACCCUGACGCAGCAACGCCGCGUGAAGGAAGAAGGCCUUCGGGUUGUAAACUUCUUUGAUUGGGGACGAAGGAAGUGACGGUACCCAAAGAACAAGCCACGGCUAACUACGUGCCAGCAGCCGCGGUAAU